CCUACGGGGCGCAGCAGUGAGGAAUAUUGGUCAAUGGACGAGAGUCUGAACCAGCCAAGUAGCGUGAAGGAUGACUGCCCUAUGGGUUGUAAACUUCUUUUAUAUGGGAAUAAAACGUUCCACGUGUGGGAUUUUGUAUGUACCAUAUGAAUAAGGAUCGGCUAACUCCGUGCCAGCAGCCGCGGUAAUACGGAGGAUCCGAGCGUUAUCCGGAUUUAUUGGGUUUAAAGGGCGCGUAGGUGGAUUGUUAAGUCAGUUGUGAAAGUUUGCGGCUCAACCGUAAAAUUGCAGUUGAAACUGGCAGUCUUGAGUACAGUAGAGGUGGGCGGAAUUCGUGGUGUAGCGGUGAAAUGCUUAGAUAUCACGAAGAACUCCGAUUGCGAAGGCAGUUCACUGGACUGCAACUGACGCUGAGGCUCGAAAGUGUGGGUAUCAAACAGGAUUAGAUACCCGGGUAGUC
rnacentral:rRNA from 1 species